UGGCUCUGGCAUCGAUGAAGAACGCAGCGAAAUGCGAUAAGUAAUGUGAAUUGCAGAAUUCCGUGAAUCAUCGAAUCUUUGAACGCACAUUGCGCCCCCUGGUAUUCCGGGGGGCAUGCCUGUCUGAGCGUUAUUACGCACCUUAAGCUCUGCUUAGCACUAGGCCACGCCGCCGGCGGGCCCUAAAUCCGGCAGCAGACCCUGCGGCGCCUAAGCGUAGUCAUGUCCCGCUCUAGGCGCCUGCGAGGCCGGCUGUGAGCCAUCUGUUUGACCUCAGAUCAGGUAGGAAUACCCGCUGA
rnacentral:misc_RNA from 1 species